CAAUCAAUCUUCUAAUUGCUCUUUUCUUAUAAAUCUUCUUCUCGUUGGGAUUCGUCUAAUUGCCCUGUUUUUCUUAAUCUUCUUCUCGUUGCGAUUAGGGCAAAAGGUUGAAUGGAUUAAUCAAUCUAUCUGCUUCAAGAGCAAAUACGCCACAAACACCGCCUAUCCGACAAUCCACGACGGACAACAGCGGUUGCGCUCUAUAUCCGGCGAACUAAAGCCGGUCCGAAGAGAGAUUUACGGUGAAGGCCAAAUCUAUGACAUGAACCACCAUUAUACGGAAUACAUCAUUAUAAUUUACAUCGGUAUUUUGACGUAUUACAACGAAUGCCGCAUUUUAAUUUCCUUGUUUGGUUGAAAAAACUGGAUUGAGACUGGGGAACAUUUGACCCUCAGCUUCUUGUAGAGUACUUUGAGUUAGAGAAAGAGAAGGAGAAGGAGAAAAGGGAC